GCAUGCAAGCCUGGUCAGCCUGGUGAGGGAGGGCAUGCUCAGGCCCCCACCAGCCCCGGGCCUGCUGUCCUUCAGUGGCCUGUGUUCUGAAGACACGGGUGCAUCUCCGUCACCCACUACCCACCAAGUCACAAACACCUGGGGCGGGAAGGAAGCAGGUCAGCACGGCUGAAGCCAGCAAAUUUGUUAUGUUCUCUGGGCCUUAGCAGUCACGACCUUGGACCACGAGAUGUGCCCUUGUUGCAUUUAUUUAAAGAGUUGAAAUCUGAAA